rnacentral:rRNA from 1 species
UACGGAGGGUGCGAGCGUUAAUCGGAAUGACUGGGCGUAAAGGGCAUGUAGGCGGAUAGUUAAGUUAGGUGUGAAAGCCCCGGGCUCAACCUGGGAAUUGCACUUAAAACUGGUUAUCUGGAGUAUUGUAGAGGAAGGUAGAAUUCCACGUGUAGCGGUGAAAUGCGUAGAGAUGUGGAGGAAUACCGGUGGCGAAGGCGGCCUUCUGGACAAAUACUGACGCUGAGAUGCGAAAGCGUGGGGAGCAAACAGG